ACGGGCCAAGGGAAAGCCUACCAUGCAGUCGAGGGGUAGAGGAAGCUUGCUUCCUUGAGACCGGCGCACGGGUGCGUAACGCGUAUGCAAUCUGCCUUGUACUGAGGGAUAGCCCAGAGAAUUUGGAUUAAUACCUCAUAGCAUUAUGAAAUCGCAUGGUUUUAUAAUUAAAGUUCCAACGGUACAAGAUGAGCAUGCGUCCCAUUAGUUAGUUGGUAAGGUAACGGCUUACCAAGACGAUGAUGGGUAGGGGUCCUGAGAGGGAGAUCCCCCACACUGGUACUGAGACACGGACCAGACUCCUACGGGAGGCAGCAGUGAGGAAUAUUGGUCAAUGGACGCAAGUCUGAACCAGCCAUGCCGCGUGCAGGAUGAAGCAUCUAUGGUGUGUAAACUGCUUUUGUACGGGAAGAAACACUCCUACGUGUAGGAACUUGACGGUACCGUAAGAAUAAGGAUCGGCUAACUCCGUGCCAGCAGCCGCGGUAAUACGGAGGAUCCAAGCGUUAUCCGGAAUCAUUGGGUUUAAAGGGUCCGUAGGCGGCUUUAUAAGUCAGUGGUGAAAGCCCAUCGCUUAACGAUGGAACGGCCAUUGAUACUGUAGAGCUUGAAUUACUUGGAAGUAACUAGAAUAUGUAGUGUAGCGGUGAAAUGCUUAGAUAUUACAUGGAAUACCAAUUGCGAAGGCAGGUUACUACAAGUGGAUUGACGCUGAUGGACGAAAGCGUGGGGAGCGAACAGGAUUAGAUACCCUGGUAGUCCACGCCGUAAACGAUGGAUACUAGCUGUUCGGAGCAAUCUGAGUGGCUAAGCGAAAG
rnacentral:rRNA from 1 species